rnacentral:rRNA from 1 species
GAUGAACGCUGGCGGCGUGCCUAAUACAUGCAAGUCGAGCGAAGAGGGGACGGGUGAGUAACACGUGGAGAACAUGCUAUAAGACUGGGAAAACAUCGGGAAACCGGAGCUAAACCGGAUAAUUAUAGAUGGAUGCGCGCUGCAUUAGCUAGUGGGUAAGGUAACGGCUUACCAAGGCAACGAUGCCUAGCCGACCUGAGAGGGUGAUCAGCCACACUGGAACUGAGACACGGUCCAGACUCCUACGGGAGGCAGCAGUAGGGAAUCUUCCACAAUGGGCGAAAGCCUGACACAGCAACGCCGCGUGAGUGAUGAAGGCCUUCGGAUCGUAAAGCUCUGUUAUUGGGGAGGCGUUACCUGCUCAGAAAGCCCCGGCUAACUCCGUGCCAGCCGCCGCGGUAAUUC